AACUGGCAGGUGUCAUCUGACCUUGACCUCAUUUUCAUGGUUCAGUGGUUAUAGUUAAAUUUUUGUGUUUUGGUCUGUUUUUCUCAUACUGUAUGCAAUAGUUCUACUAUAUUUGUUGUAUGGAAUGAUUGUAAGGUGUACACGUCUAGCGGGCAGAAGUCAUGUGACAAAAAUACUGAAUUCCGAGGAAAAUUCAAAACGGAAAGUCCCUAAUCAAAUGGCAAAAUCAAAUGAUAAAACACAUCAAACGAAUUGCCAACAACUGUCAUAUUCCUGACUUGAUACAGGCAUUUUC
rnacentral:lncRNA from 1 species